UGGGGAAUUUUGGACAAUGGGCGAAAGCCUGACCCAGCAAUGCCGCGUGUGUGAAGAAGGCCUUCGGGUUGUAAAGCACUUUUGUCCGGAAAGAAAUCCUCUGGGUUAAUACCUCGGGGGGAUGACGGUACCGGAAGAAUAAGCACCGGCUAACUACGUGCCAGCAGCCGCGGUAAUACGUAGGGUGCAAGCGUUAAUCGGAAUUACUGGGCGUAAAGCGUGCGCAGGCGGUUUUGUAAGACGGAUGUGAAAUCCCCGGGCUUAACCUGGGAACUGCAUUCGUGACUGCAAGGCUAGAGUAUGGCAGAGGGGGGUAGAAUUCCACGCGUGAGCAGUGAAAUGCGUAGAGAUGUGGAGGAAUACCGAUGGCGAAGGCAGCCCCCUGGGCCAAUACUGACGCUCAUGCACGAAAAGCGUGGGGGAGCAAACAGGAUUAGAUACCCUGGUAGUCCACGCCCUAAACGAUGUCAACUAGUUGUUGGGGAUUCAUUUCCUUAGUAACGUAGCUAACGCGUGAAGUUGACCGCCUGGGGAGUACGGUCGCAAGAUUAAAACUCAAAGGAAUUGACGGGGUCAUAGCUGUUUCCU
rnacentral:rRNA from 1 species